rnacentral:rRNA from 1 species
UACGGAGGGGGCUAGCGUUGUUCGGAAUUACUGGGCGUAAAGCGCGCGUAGGCGGACCUGCAAGUCGGGGGGUGAAAGCCCGAGGCUCAACCUCGGAACUGCCUUCGAUACUGCGGGUCUCGAGUCCGGGAGAGGUGAGUGGAAUUCCUAGUGUAGAGGUGAAAUUCGUAGAUAUUUAGGAAGAACACCAGUGGCGAAGGCGGCUCACUGGCCCGGGUACUGACGC